AUGGGAAGCAGAGAUGACGAUGGCCAAAGCACAGAAGGCCAGGGUUAUGCCGCGGACAUUAAUUCCAUCAGGGAGGCGCAGACGCGCAUCGCGCCAUACGUGCACAAGACGCCCAUUCUGUCAUCAACGUCUAUCGAUGCCAUAGCAGGGAAGCAGUUGUUCUUUAAAGGGGCAUUCAAGAUUCGAGGGGCAUCCAAUUCAAUAUUUUCCCUUGAUGACAACCACGCAGCCAAGGGCGUUGUGACGCAUAGCAGUGGGAACCAUGCUGCUGCUGUGGCACUGGCUGCAAAGUUGCGUGGCAUACCUGCUUACAUUGUCAUACCCAAAAACGCGCCAGCAUGUAAGGUUGAGAAUGUUAAGCGUUAUGGUGGUCAGGUUAUCUGGAGCGAUGUCACCAUGGAAUCAAGAGAAUCUACAGCUAAAAGAGUCCAGGAAGAGACUGGUGCUAUUCUUAUUCAUCCAUUCAAUGAUAAGUACACCAUCAGUGGUCAGGGAACUGUGUGCCUUGAACUUUUGGAGCAAGUCCCUGAGAUCGACACGAUAAUUGUUCCAAUUAGUGGUGGUGGUUUAAUUUCGGGUGUGGCACUGGCUGCAAAGGCCAUCAACCCUUCAAUACGUAUUCUGGCAGCAGAGCCAAAGGGUGCUGAUGAUUCAGCCCAGUCCAAGGCUGCUGGAAGGAUCAUCAAACUGCCUGCAACCAACACCAUUGCUGAUGGACUACGAGCGUUUCUUGGUGACUUGACAUGGCCGGUGGUGCAUGACUUGGUGGACGAUGUCAUCGUCGUGGAUGACAAUGCCAUUGUUGAUGCCAUGAAGAUGUGCUAUGAAACGCUGAAGGUGGCUGUGGAGCCUAGCGGAGCCAUUGGCCUUGCCGCUGCCCUCUCUGACGAGUUCAAGCAAAGCUCCAUUUGGCAUGAGAGCAGCAAGAUAGGGAUCAUUGUUUCUGGCGGCAAUGUGGACCUCCGUGUGCUCUGGGAAUCCCUAUGUAAAUGA
rnacentral:rRNA from 1 species